CUUGUAGUCAAUUCCUCUCUAAAAUGACCCUACUUUGUGCUUGGUAUGAUUUGCUGGAUGGAGCCUGAAAGAGGAAAACAAUGACUCCUGCUGUUGUGCAAUUCCCCUUUCUCUGACAGCCAGCCGUUGAUUACUUUCUCCAAAUGACAACUCUCCAUCUUCGACCAAGAGACGAGUGAGCAAUGCAAACCGUAUGUUAUACCACGGCUAACCACAAAACUUCUGAAAGAUAUUGCAUCAUAGAGAAGACAGAAAGAAGAUAUACAACCAGACAGUUCAGAAUCAUACUCAAGAACAAUCAAGCAUCCACCUAUGCUAUUUGAACUUUA